rnacentral:lncRNA from 1 species
GCAUCCCUGCAGGGGACUCCGGCCAGCUUGAGCUACGCGGUUCCUGAGCAUGCUCCUGGGUAGGCAUUUGCCCCGGUGCAAUGCCUCGUCAGAGCAGUGCAUGGCAGGCCCCCGCAGAGGAUCAGUGCAGUGGCUGAACACCGGGAAGGAACUGGCGCUUGGAGUCCAGAUAUCUGGAAUACGGACUGAGCUCUGGGAUAAGAACAAAUGAGGAAGAGACAGUCACUGCCCUGGCAGCAAACACCCAUGGCCAGGGUUCCUCUAUCCAUCUGUGGGAAGACCCCAAGUUUGAUACUGAAGAUGUUAAACCAUCUCCAAAGAAAUACAGAAAUAUAUGGAUUCACCGUAGAAGCUGGACCCAGCUCCUCAGAUGCAGCAGAUGGAUUGGCCCACUCUGUAAUGACCCAGGAUGGGGCGGGUGUUCUUCUGCAUGGUGACUGAGAAUGUGAGCCUCAGAAUGAAAUGUAAGAACAGCAGGCUCCAUGAGGACUGGCUGCAGCCACAAACUGCAGGUCACUGUUCACAGGUGCUCAGUAGGAAGAGAGAGAGGCUUGUGAUUUUUUUUUCACCCAGAUGGAAAUAUGCAUUCAUAAAAUGAUUUGAGCUGGGUGUGGUGGCAGGCGUCCGUAAUCCCAGCUACUCGGGAUGCGGAAGCCGGAGAAGUCCUCAAACCUGGGAGCUGAUGGGUUCAUUGAGCCGAGAUUGUGCCAUGUUAACCCAGCCUAGGGGAAAAGAACAAGACUUUGUCUCAAAAAAAUAUAUAUAUAGA